UACGUAGGUGACAAGCGUUGUCCGGAUUUACUGGGCGUAAAGAGCGCGCAGGCGGUCGAUCAAGUCGAGUGUGAAAGCCCCCGGCUCAACUGGGGAGGGUCAUUCGAUACUGAUCGACUCGAAGGCAGGAGAGGGUAGUGGAAUUCCUGGUGUAGCGGUGAAAUGCGUAGAUAUCAGGAGGAACACCUGCGGUGUAGACGGCUUUCUGGACCAUUGUUGACGCUGAGACACGAAAGCGUGGGUAGCAAACAGG
rnacentral:rRNA from 1 species